AUUGAACGCUGGCGGCAUGCUUUACACAUGCAAGUCGAACGGUAACAGGCCGCAAGGUGCUGACGAGUGGCGAACGGGUGAGUAAUGCAUCGGAACGUGCCCAGUCGUGGGGGAUAACGCAGCGAAAGCUGCGCUAAUACCGCAUACGAUCUAUGGAUGAAAGCGGGGGACCGUAAGGCCUCGCGCGAUUGGAGCGGCCGAUGUCAGAUUAGGUAGUUGGUGGGGUAAAGGCUCACCAAGCCAACGAUCUGUAGCUGGUCUGAGAGGACGACCAGCCACACUGGGUCUGAGACACGGCCCAGACUCCUACGGGAGGCAGCAGUGGGGAAUUUUGGACAAUGGGCGCAAGCCUGGUCCAGCAAUGCCGCGUGCAGGAAGAAGGCCUUCGGGUUGUAAACUGCUUUUGUACGGAACGAAACGGUCCGGGUUAAUACCCUGGGCUAAUGACGGUACCGUAAGAAUAAGCACCGGCUAACUACGUGCCAGCAGCCGCCGUAA
rnacentral:rRNA from 1 species